CACUUGACUUAGUAAAAUGCAUAUCUCAAAUCAAUCUAUUGUUUUGCUUAUAAUUUGCCUGCUAAUUCAUAAUUCCUCGGCUGAUUCCAUCCAAGAGACAUUAUGUAGGCGUGACGAUAUCAAAUUAAACUGUGAGGAAAAUUCCACCUGGGCUUCGAUGAAAAUCUUAAAAAUGUUAUCCAGUCGUUCAGGAUAAGGAGCCUUGUGGAUUUUUUGCACUCCAGGAGGCAUGCAACGAACUCUGUCUAGACUAACAUUUCACAAAGAUAAAGAUAUAAAAUUAUUAAUAAGAAAUCUUGUAAAUUUCACAUAUGAAACUAAUUUAAGAACUAUUUGUUAUCUUAAAUGUUCAAAGUAUAUAAUUAUAAUGUAUGGUAUGUACAGAUUCUUAAACGCCUUUUUCCACAUUCUCUUAUAAAUUAAAGACCACUCCAAUUGAAGUGUAAAUACACAUUGCCAUCCCCAGCA